rnacentral:rRNA from 1 species
GACGAACGCUGGCGGCGUGCUUAACACAUGCAAGUCGAACGGAAAGGCCCUGCUUUUGUGGGGUGCUCGAGUGGCGAACGGGUGAGUAACACGUGAGUAACCUGCCCUUGACUUUGGGAUAACUUCAGGAAACUGGGGCUAAUACCGGAUAGGAGCUCCUGCUGCAUGGUGGGGGUUGGAAAGUUUCGGCGGUUGGGGAUGGACUCGCGGCUUAUCAGCUUGUUGGUGGGGUAGUGGCUUACCAAGGCUUUGACGGGUAGCCGGCCUGAGAGGGUGACCGGCCACAUUGGGACUGAGCUACGGCCCAGACUCCUACGGGAGGCAGCAGUGGGGAAUAUUGCACAAUGGGCGGAAGCCUGAUGCAGCAACGCCGCGUGCGGGAUGACGGCCUUCGGGUUGUAAACCGCUUUCGCCUGUGACGAAGCGUGGGUGACGGUAAUGGGUAAAGAAGCACCGGCUAACUACGUG